GAAAAAAGGCGACAGGUUAAUCUGCCGCCUUUUUUC
rnacentral:misc_RNA from 6 species